UUAAAACAAACAGAGAAGGCUCCCUCCCCUCUCUCAAAUCUGGCCUAACGUCCGGCUCGGCCUCCGGCGUAGCACCGCCGUGUGCGGUGGCCAACGGCUCAAAAUCGGAUCUUUUUUAUCCUAGUUCGAAGCCGAGUGUCUCCUAGGCACGGAUCUGGGGCCGGAUCUCGUGAAACAAGGGCCGAAGACCCGAAAAAAGGGCGAAACCGUUCGCCUUCCUCCACCUCCGGCGCGGCGCAGGUAAGGUGCAGUUGGGCAAUGGCAGAAAGCAGGUGCAGCGCUGGUCAGAGGCGGUGGCAGGGGGUAGGUGGACGAAGGCCCUAGGUGCGGCGCACCUAGGGUGGCUGCUGUUUUUUUUUUCUGCAAAUUGGCUAGGGUUAGGUAGAUUGGGCUGAAUUGGGUUGCUGAUUUGGGCUUUGGUUUUGGUGGGUUAGGCUUAGUUGGGCCUGGGUAGGUUUUGUUUUUGUUUGGGUUAUGGGUUGUAAUGGGUUAGGUCAAAAUGGGUCUGAACAACAAUAAGUUGUAUAUUUGGACAUACACAACUAUAUUAGAAUAAUUAUAUGAUUUAAAAAAUUUAAAUGACCACACAAA